GAAAUCAAAGAGUUUUAAAGAAGGAGAAAGCUAUCCUUCUUGGCUCAUAACCGAGGCUCCUGGGAGUAUAGCCGCCGUGAGGAGGGAGCAAGUGGCUGCACAACAAGCCCUAAGGAAACUGAAGAUUGCUCAUUACGGCAGAUCUAAAUCAACGCUAACUAAUUUUACCUCCUCCAAAGUUGUCCCUCUUGUUCACCCUAGCCCUCAUCCUCAUCCUCAGAGGUGCAGCUUCAUCACCCCUACUUCUGGUAUAUUAGCCUUUCCAUUUUUCUUUUACUUGGUGUAUUAGUCUCUCUUCAAAAUUCUGAAUUUUGUUAAUGUCAUUUUCUCAGAUCCUAUUUACGUUGCCUACCAUGAUGAAGAAUGGGGAGUCCCUGUCCAUGAUGACAAGUGCGUUACAUAUUUUAUUUUCUUACAAUUUUAAUACUAUCACUUUUAUUUUCAUAAUUGCAACAAAAUUUAGUUUAUUGAGGGUAUUAAAAUCUUGGAAAUUAGGAUAUAAUCCUAAAUGAUUUGGUAACCUACUAAUCUUAAAUCUAUAUCCCCUUAUAUAUUUGGAACUAAAAGUGAUUAGCUUUCUUUUGUUUCUUAGAUUUUAUAUCUUACUAUAACACAUUUUCAUUUUAUCCAAAUAAUAAACUAAUUAUCUCUAUUUCAGGACGUUGUUCGAACUGCUAACCCUAAGUGGCGCGCAAGUAGGCUCCGAUUGGACUUCAACCUUGAGAAAACGCCAUGACUUCAGGAAAGCAUUUAUGGAAUUUGAAGCGGAAGCGGUUGCAAAAAUUAGCGAGAAAGAGAUGAAUGAAAUAAGCACCGAAUACAAGAUAGAGAUGAGCAAAGUGAGAGGCAUUGUGGAGAACGCAACAAAGAUCCUAGAGAUCAAGAAAAACUUCGGGUCACUAGAGAAGUACAUUUGGGGUUUUGUGAACCACAAACCCAUCUCCACGAACUACAAGUUUGGCCACAAGAUUCCGGUCAAGACAUCCAAGUCGGAGAGCAUAAGCAAAGACAUGGUGCGUCGAGGCUUCAGGUACGUGGGCCCCACUGUGGUUCACUCCUUCAUGCAAGCCGCUGGUCUAACCAAUGACCACUUGCUCACUUGUUACCGUCACAUUCCUUGCACUCUCCUCAGUACCAAUCCCUAAAAGAACUCAUUUCUUAUUUAUUUACUUAAUUGAAAGUGUGUUUUUCAACUUUCGGGUGAUUUGUGUACAACAAAUGUAGGUGUAGGAGGAAAUGGAUUGUGUGAUUUUAAUUGGCAUGUAAGAUAAACCAGCUGGUGUAGUUUGUGUUUUUUUUCUUUUCUUUUGUGUGACGUUUUUAUUAUAAUCACAUGUAUAAGGGUUUUUGAUGUAUGUGUGGUGUGACAAAUUGAAUUAGUAAUUGAUUUUCAUUUGAGUUUAACUUAUCUUAUAAUAACUUAAGACUAAUGUGCAUUCUUAGCCAAAGAAAAAGACUAAUGUGCAUGGGAAAAUUCAAUAUCCUCUUGGGUUUUCAAAAUAUCGUCUCUAUCCAAUCUUUUAUCCAAGAUAUUUAUUUUAUUGUUUUAAAAUUUGUAUUGAGAAUUGAAAGAAGAGUACAAUAACAAAAAAAAUGGUGAUUGGUGUUCGUAGAAGCAAAUAGAAUGAUGAUGAAGCAUGUGAUGCUUCUCUGUCACCAAUAAUGAUUGCAUCAUUUUAGUGGAUGCCAUGAUGGGAUUGGUCAUUGCCCAUUGGAUUGGGUCAUUCUCCCCAUCCCUAAUAUAACUUCUUUCCCAGUUCUACCCUUUCAAUUAUUUAUUCAAGUUCCAAGGACAAGGCUCCUCCUUCCUUCACUCUCUGUUUAUAUGAUCAUUGAUAUUAUUUGAAUAUUUACCCUUAUCGUAUGUUUUUAUAGAAGAUGUGGUCUUUAAGUAAGGAUGUGACUUUUGGUAUAAAACAGAGUACUCGACAAGUUUUGUUAAUGUUGAGAGAAUGUAAAAAUGAAAAAGAAAAAUCAAAUAUGCUUUGAGAAGAGAGCACAUGAGACUGCAACAACGAUGCAUCAGAUUCCUACUUUCCUCAACACCGUAACACAGAAGCAGCCCUUCUUUGUCAGAGCGUGUAAACUUAGUAAAGAGUAAAGACCAAGCUAAUGAAGUUAUGGGCCCAACCUGCUCUCUCAACGGCCCACUAAGAGGCUAUUAUUUACAAGGCCCAAUAGUGAUUCUAUGGAAAUGAAUGCUAUCUAACAAGUUUUGAUAGCAUUAUUUACUUGUUCACUAACAAAUUUAAUUUUGUCAAAACACCAAUCUAAAGGCAGGUAGAAGGAGAAAAAGACAAAGUUGAGGCCGCAAUAUCAAACUCCCACAAAUGAUUCUGCUGCAUUAUAUUCCCAAUGACAUUAGUAGCCUCAGCUUUAGCCUCCACAAACCCUAAACACCUGAUUCCUGGCGCAGCAUUUAUCAGGUAGCUUCUACGAUAAGGCGCGAAACGAGUACCGCCCAUGAAGUGAAACGUUAGUUGUGGCAGCUUUCUGUCGUCGAACUUGCUGGUAUAAUAACAAAACUCUAUUGGUAGUCCUUCUGGUUUGAUUCUUUUCACACCAACAAGGUGACGCUGUAGCCCUGUAACCACGGCCUUGUACGCGGCCUCAGCUAAGAACGUGAGGCUGCUUCCUGAGUCCAAAAUGGUCCCACCACCUUUCUUUACACCCCAUACUUGUGGAGGGAUGUUGAGCAUUUCCUCUCCGAUGGAGAUUCCAACGAUGUUGACGGCGUAGAAGGGAGGAAGGAGACUGAGAUCAAGCCGAGCGGUUCGUCUUGCGGGGGCUUUGGUGGUGGUAGACGAGGGUGUAGAGCCGAAGAUGAGAUAGUUGGAGACGUUUUUGUGUGAGGUAUGGUCAACGAGGCAGUAUGAGAAUUUGCCUCCGAAGAUGUUAGUGGCUUUUGCAGUGAAGGAGUAAUCGCUCAAGGCUAGACCAAGGAUACCGUCUGCUUCACGGAAGCUGGCACCACCUUCGGAGUUGCUGCUGCAGCCAAUGAGGAGGCCACGGAUACUAGUAACGCUGCCGUUGGUGAGACCAAGAGUGAAGGUCUCCUUAGCGAAUACACCUUGUGCUGAUGAUCCAUCAACAUAUCUGUUACACCAAAUCUAAGUAAGAAUGCAAAAAACAUGGAUGGAUUAUUACUAAAGAGGCAAACCUAACUCCCAAGUCACAAUAAGUAACAUUUAUAUACUGUGAUGAAUAGUAGCACAAGACACAUUUAAUUUUCACAUCUUCUCCUUACAUACACUUGCAUCUAACUCUAUGUCUCCCUCAUGUUUAGGCAUGGGCAUAAAAACCGAGAACCAAAAAUUGAACCGGAAUCGAACCCGAAACCGAACAGAUAUUCAAAAAUAACUGAACGGUUCCUAUAUUUCUAUAACCCAAAAACUGAAACCGGAGUGGAACUGAAUCGAGAACAAUUAUAUAUAGUAUUAAAAUUAGCAAUUUUUUUAAAAGUAUUACUUAUAAACCGAAUUACCCAGAUAUUUUUUAUCCAAAGUAUUUAAAAAUUUCCGAACUACCCUAAAUAACCAAAUUACUCGAAUAGUUUUAUCCAAAAAUUUAAAAUUUAUCCGAAUUACCCGAUUUUUUAAUCUAAAAACCUGAAAAAAAUCUGUAUUUGUACCCUCGAAUAUCUAAAACUAACCGACAAAACGAUACCGAAUUGAAACCAAAAGUUUAUUGGAUAUUAGCCUGUUCUUAUAAUUAUUACCCGAACCGAACCAAAAACCGAAAUAACUGAACUAAAUCCGAACCGAUUUUCAUAGAUAACCGAAUGGUUCAUUGAACCGAAAACAGAAAGAACCGAAUCUGCACCGAACCCAAAACCCAAUGCCAGGCCUGAUUCGCAUUUUGACUAUGGAUCAAUAAUACAAACACAACCACUAAAAGAGAGUUUAUUUAUCCUUGUACCUGUAAUCGUAUGCGCAUGGAGUUCUAGGGGUAGGGCAUAUAGCGAUGGAGAAUAGUUUCGCCAAAUCUUCCGAACAAGUCUUCGUCAUGCAUCCAACCUUUCUGAAACUGGACGAAUUCUCUGCUCUGAAGACAUGACGAUUCUCAAGUUUCUCUGGCCCUUGCCCAUGGAACCUACAAUUCACCCAUGUCAGCUCGCUCCCUGUGUCCACCACCACCCUGAACCUCUUCGCUGGCGUUCCAACCAUGAUCUCCGAGAAAUACUGCGCCGCUCCGAAGUCGAAACCUGAUCCCAGCGACAUUUUCACUCCACCCUUAGUUGUUUUUAUUUUCUGAGAAAUGACGUUGUGACGCUUCUGGUCCAUGCCCAUAAUGUCUUCGAUGCGAUGGUAAGGUGACGGAUUCGGUGAGAGUGAAUCACGGUGCUUCAUGUCGAGACGCAUAGCCGUUUCUUCCUUGGAAUGUGCGGAGGCUAUUAGGAGCAUCGUGAUGAGACACAAGAGCAUUGUUGUCGUUGUCUUCAUUUUUUUCGUCCUCUUGUUCUGUUUUUUUUUUUUGCUCCUUUUAGGGUUGUCCGUUUCUAAAACAGAGUAUUUAUAUUGACCAACACGCCUUUCUCUCUCUAUUCUUUUUUUUAAUCAUAAAUCUAAAAAACCUUGAUUGAGUUAUAGUUUUUAGAUUUGUUUUAGUUUCUGAAAUUACCAUAUUUAUCAAGAUUUUGAAAAUGUGGUUUUCCUGAAAAAAAGGGAGACUCAUUUUUGUAGCUACAAUAAAAACAAAAAACACACCAUGUUAUUUGGGUUUCUUAUUAAAAAGCCUAUUUUUUCCAACGAGAGUUUAUUUGUUAUUUAUGAUUAUUAUUUUAUAACAUAUUUUUGUUAUUAUCCAAAAUUCAAAAACUAUUUUAAAGGCUUUAAACAUCUUCCGUAAAUUAAAAAGAAAACAUUUGAGGCUAGCAUGUCAAAAGUCAAAACCAUGUUUUCUAUGUAUUUUAGUUUUAAGUCCUAUAAUUACUUUUAAAGCUAUUAAUUCAGAAAUACAGUGUUCGUUUAGAUUACUUAAUUUAUGAAUUAAUGACAAACUGAUCAAUUCUUAGCAAAUCUAACAUUUUUUGAGAAAUUAAAGUAGGAAUGCAAAACAAAUAACUCUCAUCGGUGACCAUUAAAAUAAGAAUAAAAAUGAAUAAGAAAAGAAUGAAGAAUAACAAAAUAAAAUGAAUGAAAAUAAAUAUUUAAUCCCUUUGUUCCAUAUCAAUUUUGAUAAUAAAUGUUUUUCUUAUAUAGUUCCUUAAAAUUUAAAGAAUGAAAAUGAAUCAAAUGCAGCAAAAACUUUCUUAUAAAUGGUGUAAUUUUUAAGAAAUGAAUAGGAAUCGAGUAUUCUCCUUCAUUCUCUACGUCACACCAUUUGGACUCAAAGACAAACGUGAAAGAGGGUAAAGAGAGAGAGUGUGCGCUUGUGUUAUGACAUUGUAACACAAGUGUAAGAAAGAGAGAGAGAGUGAGUGAGAACAAAGACAGAGACUGAACAAAAGAGUCUUGAGUGAACAAGAGCAAGAGAGAGGCCGGCCGUAAGUGAGUCGAGUGGAAAGGUCAAGCCAAGAAGAGCUUUUUAUUUAUAAAUUGAUCUUUCAAUUUUUAUAUAGUUUUGUUUGUAUCAAAACUAAUUCAGUAUUUGUGUUUUAUGCUUUAAUAAAUUAUUAAUAUUUUCAUAAUACAAUUAUAAAUUUCUAAAAAUAAUUUUAUAUUCUUGUAAAGACUAAAUUUAUGUAUAAUAUAAUAAAGAUAGUUAAAAUACAAUUAUUUUGGAUAAAAUUUGUAAAAUUAUAAAAUAACAAACAUUAUUAGAACUUUUUUUUGUGCAACACAUUAUUAGAGCUAAUAAUAAGUAUUAAUAAUAAAAUAUAUUUACAAUAUUCUUUUUCAAAAGGAAAAAUGAGUGAAACUCCAAUUCAUUUAGAAAGAACUGUUGACAUGAAGAAUUAAACAAAGGGAAGUAGUGGAGGAAGUAGGAGAAGUGGCCAUAUCACUUACCAAAUGGGGAGGAGUGGCUAGUCCACUACUAGUUAGUGGAGGAAGUGGGAGGAGUGACCAUAUCACUUACCAAAUGGGGAGGAGUGGCUAGUCCACUACUAGUUAUUUAUUCUUCCACCAUUGAGUGCUUAUUGCUUUUGUUUCCUUUAAAUACACCAUGUAUGUUACACAAUUAAACACACAAUUCAAUACAAACAUUUCUUUCAUUCUCUCAAUCUCACAAAUCCUCUCAUUCUCUUAAAUUCUCAAAUUUCUCUUCUCUCUCAAAUACUUACGGUUACUUCACUCCUUUUUUACUUUGUUCGUGUGCUUCAUCACGGUUAAAACACUUAGAAGCUCUCAUAAUCCCACAAAUUAUCAUGGUAUCAGAGCAGCAACAAUCUUGAAACCUUUCUAAAUUCCGCAAAAUCAAAACUCUGUUUCUAGUUCUUAAACUCUACCUCUGACCAAGUAAAUCCCCAAGAUGGAGAACAACAACAACAAUAACAACAACCGCAUCAGCAUACCUGUGACCCUGAAGGGGAUUAACUACCUCUUGUGGGCCAGGAUGGUGAAGAUUGCCCUUGGAGGAAAGGGUUUGUGGAGUCAUGUCUCAGCAGAAGCAGCUCCAAAACAAACCACCCAAGGAGAAGAUGGACAGGAGAUUGUGGUAGCUACUGAUGAAGACAAAUGGGCUCAGGAAGAUCUCAUGGUUCUCACAGUGCUCCUUAGCUCCCUAGAACCCGCCAUCAUGGAGUCUUACUCCUACUGUGAAACUACCAAGCAGCUGUGGGAUACACUCUACAAAGUGUAUGGAAAUACCUCCAACCUUACAAGGGUCUUUGAAGUAAAAAGAGCUAUCAAUACCCUCAACCAAGGAGAUAUGGAGAAGGGACAGUGUGAUGAGCAAUGGUGGUUCAGCUAAAGUGAGAGGAAGCUUGGAGCGCAAGAAAUCAAAGAGUUUUAAAGAAGGAGAAAGCUAUCCUUCUUGGCUCAUAACCGAGGCUCCUGGGAGUAUAGCCGCCGUGAGGAGGGAGCAAGUGGCUGCACAACAAGCCCUAAGGAAACUGAAGAUUGCUCAUUACGGCAGAUCUAAAUCAACGCUAACUAAUUUUACCUCCUCCAAAGUUGUCCCUCUUGUUCACCCUAGCCCUCAUCCUCAUCCUCAGAGGUGCAGCUUCAUCACCCCUACUUCUG
rnacentral:lncRNA from 1 species